AGUUGCGAUUAUACCAGCACUAAUGCACCGGAUCCUAUUAGAACCUCGCAGUUAAGCGUGCUUGGGCGACAGUAGUACUAGGAUGGGUCACCCCCUAGGAAUUUUGUCGCAGCCCCCGACCCAUGCCCCGGGGGCGGGCGGCCGCGAGAUGCGCACAGAGCCGGUGGUA
rnacentral:rRNA from 1 species